AGUGAACGCUGGCGGUAGGCCUAACACAUGCAAGUCGAACGGCAGCACAGUAAGAUCUUGCUCUUACGGGUGGCGAGUGGCGGACGGGUGAGGAAUACAUCGGAAUCUACUUUUUCGUGGGGGAUAACGUAGGGAAACUUACGCUAAUACCGCAUACGACCUACGGGUGAAAGCAGGGGAUCUUCGGACCUUGCGCGAUUCAAUGAGCCGAUGUCGGAUUAGCUAGUUGGCGGGGUAAAGGCCCACCAAGGCGACGAUCCGUAGCUGGUCUGAGAGGAUGAUCAGCCACACUGGAACUGAGACACGGUCCAGACUCCUACGGGAGGCAGCAGUGGGGAAUAUUGGACAAUGGGCGCAAGCCUGAUCCAGCCAUACCGCGUGGGUGAAGAAGGCCUUCGGGUUGUAAAGCCCUUUUGUUGGGAAAGAAAAGCAGCAGGUUAAUACCCCGCUGUUCUGACGGUACCCAAAGAAUAAGCACCGGCUAACUUCGUG
rnacentral:rRNA from 1 species